rnacentral:rRNA from 1 species
AUGCAGCAUCAACAUCCUGUUCAGAUCACUGCCCCUUGCUUCUUGCAGCUAUUGCAGCCCCGCGCCGGCCGGCCACGUUUAGAUUUGAAUCCUUUUGGCCUCGGUUCCCGCACUUCCAGGAAACAGUCCAAGGCGCCUGAAACCGCCCAACCUCAACGCAAUUUUGGAGGGGCCAAGAUUCAGAUGCACAUUGCAACUGAAAUAGUCCUACGCCUCGACAUAGCUCAGGAGUCUAGAGCCCUCUCCGAUGCGGAGUUCCAUCUUCGGAAAAUGCUCAAGCUCAAAAUCUUAGGACUAGCGGCAAUCGACCACGCAAGGAAGCGCCAGGCGAAGAUCAAUGCUAGGACACGAAAAGCAUUCAUCCACACACUUCAUGAACCAUCCGGUGUAGUCACCUCGCAGGAGGACAAGGAAAACUUGAUCCAUGAUCACUUCUCCUCCCUCCUGGGUGCGGCAGCGCACCACGACACCACUGUCAAUUGGCGAUCUCUUGCCAUGACCAGGCUGCAGGGCGGAGGGCUCGACAACCCAUUCAUGGAGAAAGAAGUGUGGCGUGCAAUCAAAGCAUCGCUGGCGGACCGUGCACCGAGGCCGAACGGCUUCUCCGGCAUCUUCUUCAGCUGCAAGGUUAAUUGGUCAGCUGUGUGCACUCCCACAACACAUGGAGGACUAGGGAUCCUUGACCUCGAGCGUUUCGGCCGCGCCCUUAGAUUGCAGUGGCUCUGGAUCUCCUGGACCGACCCAAAGCAGCCUUGGGUCGGCACGGAGCCGCCAUGCAAUGCCAGCGACAAGGCCCUCUUCACGGCGGCGACCACGGUCACCAUCGGCGACGACGGCGCACCACCUCAUAUGGAGCUGCCCACUAUCCCGAGAGGUCUGGGAAAGGGUGGGCGCAAGAAGGGGAUGUCAACAGCUACACCCAAGAAAUCAUGUGCAAGGGUAAAGCGCCAUUGCUUCACUCCAACGGAUGGUGGCAAGCACCCAACCAGCACAAAGAAGGGCCUGCAAUGCCACCAUGCUCCUAACAUGCUGGGAAAUUUGGCAAGAGCGGAACCGGUGUAUGUUCAGAGGAAAGACACCUUCCGUGCAAGACAUCACCAAGGCCAUUGA